rnacentral:rRNA from 1 species
UACGUAGGGUGCAAGCGUUGUCCGGAAUUAUUGGGCGUAAAGAGCUCGUAGGCGGUUUGUCGCGUCGGGAGUGAAAUCCACUGGCUUAACUGGUGGCUUGCUUUCGAUACGGGCAGACUGGAGGUAUGCAGGGGAGAACGGAAUUCCUGGUGUAGCGGUGAAAUGCGCAGAUAUCAGGAGGAACACCGGUGGCGAAGGCGGUUCUCUGGGCAUGACCUGACGCUGAGGAGCGAAAGUGUGGGAGGCGAACAGG